UACGGUCAAAUCAUUUUUGAAACACAGGUUCUCGUACGAUCACCGAAGUUAAGCAUCGUAGAGCCAGGUCAGUACUUGGAUGGGGGACCGCUUGGGAACACCUGGUACUGUA